CUACGACUCAGAGCUGCCUACUCCUGCUCUGGUUCUCUUUGGACAGCACCCUUCAACUCUAAAGAGAAGACGUUUAUGAUCCUUCAAAGGCACACGAGGGAUAAGUCAUUCACUUUCAACAACAUCCCUUUGAGAUGCAGCGAGAUGACUGAAUUUAUUUGACUCUUGUGAUUUUUGCAUAUUCUGCUUUGACACCUCUGUCUUUCACAAUUUUUGACAAUCCACAUGUUUAAAGUCUAACAGAAAGAAAAAAAUCACUGGAUGUGAAGUUGGGAGCCAGAGCUGAGUCUGCAUCUGUGUCCUCGUGUUGGUGACCUUGGGGCACCACUUUCAGAUAAAAACAUAGACCUGAAUGGCAUCAUCCAGUAUCCAAGGAAACCAUUCAUCCCCACUGAUAUCUGCACCAUUUCCCGAUAUCAAAAAAGGAGGCUUUCAGUGCAAGAGUGGUGGAUGGCAGGGGUAAGUGGUCAAAGAACUCAGUAGAAAAAGAGUAAUGAUUCAAGGACCCUUAAAACUGUGUAAAAAGGUGAGUCUGGAGGUAAGAAUGUAUGUGGAGAAAGCGUGAGAGAAAAAUGAAGGCUUAAUUUAGGAUUAGCAAAAGAAUCAAAGAAAAUGACCAGGAGGAGAGAGGAGAAUGAGGACCGUACAUGCACAGGGUAAUGGUGGAGCAGUUCUCAGAGAUUAAGAUGGCAUUAAUGUGAUUUUUAGAGAGAUAUUUCAAAUUUUUGGCAACACAUUCCAACAGCAAUAAUGCCGAAGAGCCAUCUGAAAUCAGGGGCCAACAGAUGAGGGCUUUCUUUAACUUUAUUCUUGAAUUGCAGUCAAGAUUAACUUCUGUAAACCCCAUUGUGUGUGGCUGUGUGUGUGUGUGUGUGUUUUAGUUUGUUUCCAAAGCACUGUCUCAGUUUAUUUUUUCAGUUACCCCCACAAGGUCCCUGUGAGUUAGCUCCGCAGCAUCAUCAGGCAAAUCUCCUGACUCUCAAUUCUUAGCUAAUUGCAUUAGAAAAUAUUGACUUUAAUUGUGUGUGAAAGGUGAACAAAUUUUGUAUUAAACAGUCACCAGAUUUUAGAACAAGAGCUAAAGUUCAGGAAAGGCUUGGAGUUCCAAAGAAUAGAAAGACAUGGAAAAGAGCAGAAGUAGCCAUUCAGUCGGAGUCAAUAGAAUUAACCCAGCUAGUAUUUGAGCCUUUGCUCUCUGAAGUUAUGGGUCAAUGAUGUCGAAACAGAUACUCACCUCUGACAAAGAAAGGCAUGAAUACUGGCGUGAGAGGACAUGGCUCUUUUUCUUUGAAUCCCAGAUCAAAUUUAAACCUGUGAUUUUGGAGCUUACUCAUCAGAGGAGAAAUAUCAUGAGCUAUUUGCUCUCUCUGCUGUAACACAGCUCUGGCACGCCUGGAAGUUAUGUUGAGAUCGUCAAAUCUACAGUCAAGGACCAUCUUUGUGAAUCAUGAAACCAUAUGCCACUGGUUGUCUGAAUUGAAAGAAAAAAAACAACAAAAACAAAAACCCCAACUCUACACCAAUGAAACUAGUGAUGUGAUCAGACAGUGCCAGGGGCCAUUUGACCAUCUUAUACCUUCUCAAUCUAUACAUUAAAAAGAAAUCUCUGCUAUUGCCUGAGCCAUGUAAAAUACCAGAACUCCUGUAGUGCUAACAAGGAAUAAAGAUCUUGCACCAGAUGGUGCCUCUUGUCUCCAUCUAUCUCUAGCCCAAACAAUCUGCCAGAGUUUUGAAGAAAAAUGCAAUGUGAUCGUGUUGCAAAGUAUAUGAAGAAACAGUAUGAAAAGUAAUCUGGCUCAAGCAGUGGAACCCAGAAGGAAAGGGAUUAUUAUGACUCUUUGAGCCUAUGGAUGAGGGUGCUGUUAUCUCUGCACAUUAGUCCAUAAAACAAAUGGUACAUCCAGGCACAGCUGGAAGGAG
ensembl:lncRNA